rnacentral:rRNA from 1 species
UACGGAAGGCAGCAGGGGGAAUAUUGCACAAUGGGCGCAAGCCUGAUGCAGCCAUGCCGCGUGUAUGAAGAAGGCCUUCGGGUUGUAAAGUACUUUCAGUCGUGAGGAAGGUGUUAAGGUUAAUAACCUUAGCAAUUGACGUUAGCGACAGAAGAAGCACCGGCUAACUCCGUGCCAGCAGCCGCGGUAAUACGGAGGGUGCGAGCGUUAAUCGGAAUUACUGGGCGUAAAGGGCACGCAGGCGGUUAAUUAAGUUGGAUGUGAAAUCCCCGGGCUUAACCUGGGAAUGGCACUCAAGACUGGUUAGCUAGAGUCUUGUAGAGGGGGUAGAAUUCCAUGUGUAGCGGUGAAAUGCGUAGAGAUGUGGAGGAAUACCGGUGGCGAAGGCGGCCCCUGGACAAAGACUGACGCUCAUGUGCGAAAGCGUGGGGAGCAAAC